GACGAACGCUGGCGGCGUGCUUAACACAUGCAAGUCGAACGAAGUGGCGAACGGGUGAGUAACGCGUAAUCAACCUGCCCUUGAGAGGGGUACAACAGUUGGAAACGACUGCUAAUACCGCAUACUGAAGGUGGGGAUUGCGUGUGAUUAGGUAGUUGGAGGGGUAACGGCCCACCAAGGCGAUGAUCAGUAGCCGGGCUGGGAGGAGGGACGGCCAAAUUGGGAAUGAGACACGGGCCAGACGCCUAAGGGAGGCAGGAGUGGGGAAGCUUCCGCAAUGGACGAAAGUCUGACGGAGCAACGCCGCGUGAGGGAUGACGGCCUUCGGGUUGUAAAGAUCUGUUAAUCGGGACGCGGUACCGGAAUAGAAAGCCACGGCUAACUACGUGCCAGCCGCCGCGGUAAUAC
rnacentral:rRNA from 1 species